GUUGUAUAGUCAAGUAAUUAAGUGCAUGUGGUGGAUGCCUUGGCAGUCAGAGGCGAUGAAAGACGUGAUAGCCUGCGAAAAGCUCCGGGGAGGCGGCAAAUAUCCUUUGAUCCGGAGAUGUCUGAAUGGGGGAACCCACCUACUUUAAGGUAGGUAUUGCAACAUGAAUACAUAGUGUUGCAAGGCGAACGAGGGGAAGUGAAACAUCUCAGUACCCUUAGGAAAAGAAAUCAAUUGAGAUUCCCUCAGUAGCGGCGAGCGAACGGGGAUCAGCCCAUUAAGUUAUGUGUGUUUUAGUGGAACGCUCUGGGAAGUGCGAACGUAGAGGGUGAUAUUCCCGUACACGAAAGGGCACACAUAAUGAUGACGAGUAGGGCGAGGCACGUGAAACCUUGUCUGAAUAUGGGGGGACCAUCCUCCAAGGCUAAAUACUCCUGACUGACCGAUAGUGAACCAGUACCGUGAGGGAAAGGCGAAAAGAACCCCUGUGAGGGGAGUGAAAUAGAUCCUGAAACCGCAUGCAUACAAGCAGUGGGAGCACCUUCGUGGUGUGACUGCGUACCUUUUGUAUAAUGGGUCAGCGACUUAUAUUCAGUAGCAAGGUUAACCGUAUAGGGGAGCCGUAGAGAAAUCGAGUCUUAAUAGGGCGUUUAGUUGCUGGGUAUAGACCCGAAACCAGGCGAUCUAUCCAUGAGCAGGUUGAAGGUUGGGUAACACUAACUGGAGGACCGAACCCACUGUCGUUGAAAAGCCAGGGGAUGACUUGUGGAUAGGGGUGAAAGGCUAAUCAAGCCUGGUGAUAGCUGGUUCUCCCCGAAAGCUAUUUAGGUAGCGCCUCGGACGAAUACCAUAGGGGGUAGAGCACUGUUUCGGCUAGGGGGUCAUCCCGACUUACCAAACCGAUGCAAACUCCGAAUACCUAUGAGUACUAUCCGGGAGACAGACUGCGGGUGCUAACGUCCGUAGUCAAGAGGAAAACAAUCCAGACCGCCAGCUAAGGCCCCAAAAUCAUAGUUAAGUGGGAAACGAUGUGGGAAGGCAUAGACAGCUAGGAGGUUGGCUUAGAAGCAGCCACCCUUUAAAGAAAGCGUAAUAGCUCACUAGUCGAGUCGGCCUGCGCGGAAGAUGUAACGGGGCUAAAACUAUGUGCCGAAGCUGCGGAUNNNNNNNNNNNNNNNNNNNNNNNAUGCUGGAGGUAUCAGAAGUGCGAAUGCUGACGUGAGUAACGACAAAACGGGUGAAAAACCCGUUCGCCGAAAGACCAAGGGUUCCAGUCCAACGUUAAUCGGGGCUGGGUGAGUCGACCCCUAAGGCGAGGCCGAAAGGCGUAGUCGAUGGGAAAAUGGUUAAUAUUCCAUUACUUCUGUGUAAUGCGAUGAGAGGACGGAGAAGGCUAAAUCAGCCUGGCGUUGGUUGUCCAGGUGAAAGGAUGUAGGCAUGUAUCUUAGGCAAAUCCGGGGUACUCUAUGCUGAGAUCUGAUAGCAAGCUGUACUUGUACAGCGAAGUGGUUGAUGCCAUGCUUCCAGGAAAAGUCUCUAAGCUUCAGUUACACAGGAAUCGUACCCGAAACCGACACAGGUGGUCAGGUCGAGUAGACCAAGGCGCUUGAGAGAACUCUGCUGAAGGAACUAGGCAAAAUGGUACCGUAACUUCGGGAGAAGGUACGCUGUUGUUGGUGAUGGAACUCGCUUCCUGAGCUGACGACAGCCGCAGAAACCAGGCCGCUGCAACUGUUUAUUAAAAACAUAGCACUCUGCAAACACGAAAGUGGACGUAUAGGGUGUGAUGCCUGCCCGGUGCUGGAAGGUUAAUUGAUGGGGUUAGCGUAAGCGAAGCUCUUGAUCGAAGCCCCAGUAAACGGCGGCCGUAACUAUAACGGUCCUAAGGUAGCGAAAUUCCUUGUCGGGUAAGUUCCGACCUGCACGAAUGGCAUAAUGAUGGCGGCGCUGUCUCCAGCAGAGGCUCAGUGAAAUCGAAAUCGCUGUGAAGAUGCAGUGUACCCGCGGCUAGACGGAAAGACCCCGUGAACCUUUACUGCAGCUUGACACUGAACUUUGACCUUACUUGUGUAGGAUAGGUGGGAGGCUUUGAAGCUGGAACGCUAGUUCCAGUGGAGCCGUCCUUGAAAUACCACCCUGGUAAUGUUGAGGUUCUAACUCUGUCCCGUGAUCCGGGACGAGGACCGUGUCUGGUGGGUAGUUUGACUGGGGCGGUCUCCUCCUAAAGAGUAACGGAGGAGUACGAAGGUGCGCUCAGCGUGGUCGGAAAUCACGCGUAGAGUAUAAAGGCAAAAGCGCGCUUAACUGCGAGACCCACAAGUCGAGCAGGUACGAAAGUAGGUCUUAGUGAUCCGGUGGUUCUGUAUGGAAGGGCCAUCGCUCAACGGAUAAAAGGUACUCUGGGGAUAACAGGCUGAUACCGCCCAAGAGUUCAUAUCGACGGCGGUGUUUGGCACCUCGAUGUCGGCUCAUCUCAUCCUGGGGCUGAAGCAGGUCCCAAGGGUAUGGCUGUUCGCCAUUUAAAGAGGUACGCGAGCUGGGUUUAGAACGUCGUGAGACAGUUCGGUCCCUAUCUACCGUGGGCGCUGGAAAUUUGAGAGGAUCUGCUCCUAGUACGAGAGGACCAGAGUGGACGAACCUCUGGUGUACCGGUUGUGACGCCAGUCGCAUCGCCGGGUAGCUAUGUUCGGAAGGGAUAACCGCUGAAAGCAUCUAAGCGGGAAGCCUACCUCAAGAUAAGAUUUCCCUAGGACUUUAUGUCCUCUAAAGAGCCGUUCGAGACUAGGACGUUGAUAGGUUGGAUGUGGAAGCAUAGUGAUAUGUGAAGCUGACCAAUACUAAUUGCUCGUGAGGCUUGACUAUACAACACCCAAGCAGUUG
rnacentral:rRNA from 1 species